GGCUCUUGUUGGGAGGCCACGUUCCCCCCCGCCCCCCAAUACCGGAAGGUGACAUUGGGGAACGGGCGGGCCGCUCGGCGGGUGGCGUCAUGCUCGGGUCUCUGGGCCGCUCCGGGGGCGGCUUGGUCCGGAUCCUCCGCGCCAGAGACGUGAGGGGAGCGGCCGGGCUGCGGCACGCGGGGGGCGGGGUGCACAUCGAGCCCCACUACCGGCAGUUCCCGCGGCUGACCCGCCGGCAGGUGAUCCACGGCGAGCUCCUCAGCGGCUUCAUGUGGUUCUGGAUCCUGUGGCACUUCUGGCACAACCCGGAGGCGGUGCUGGGUCACUUUCCUUACCCAGAUGCUUCGAAAUGGACAGAUGAGGAAUUGGGGAUCCCUCCUGAUGAUGAAGAAUAGAUUUACAGCUCCAGCUACCAGUGUGAUUUGUCUGGGAUGUAAACUGACGUCUGUUAAAUCUUUGAGUGGGCGCUUGAGUUUCUACAAGCUAGUAGGAGGUACCAUGCUCAUCCAGCAACUGCCUUCUGCUGCCUCGACUAAUGGUCCUGUGGUGGGAUCUCUGAAGAAGUUGAGGCUUUGGCUCUUGUACAACUGUGUUUCAGCAAAUCCACACUGUAAAUAAAAACUCAAGUUACAA